GGAAUCUUCCACAAUGGACGAAAGUCUGAUGGAGCAACGCCGCGUGAGUGAAGAAGGGUUUCGGUUCGUAAAACUCUGUUGUUAAAGAAGAACAUAUCUGAGAGUAACUGUUCAGGUAUUGACGGUAUUUAACCAGAAAGCCACGGCUAACUACGUGCCAG
rnacentral:rRNA from 1 species